rnacentral:tRNA from 1 species
GCCCGCGUAGCUCAGUAGGUAGAGCACUUCCAUGGUAAGGAAGGGGUCAGCAGUUCGAUUCUGCUCGUGGGCUCCA